UACGUAGGCAGCAAGCGUCGUUCGGAGUUACUGGGCGUAAAGGGUGCGUAGGUGGCUCUAUAAGUAUGGUGUGAAAUCUCCCGGCUUAACUGGGAGGGCGCGCCGUAGACUGUGGGGCUAGAGUGUGGGAGAGGAGAGUGGAAUUCCUGGUGUAGCGGUGAAAUGCGUAGAUAUCAGGAGGAACACCGGUGGUGUAAACGGCUUUCUGGACCAUAACUGACACUUAGGCACGAAAGCGUGGGUAGCAAACAGG
rnacentral:rRNA from 1 species